UCCCUCAGCAAUGGGCAAGACAUCUUUGUGGUGAUGCUGUUCUUAUUUCAGUCAGGGGCAGAGCACUUGGUAUUCCUUUGUUCAUUCUAGCUUGGUGCCUGGCUUGGUGGCCAACAGUGUUUUAUGCCUACGACACAUAA